rnacentral:rRNA from 1 species
UCUGGUGGCAGUAGCGCGGUGGUUCCACCGGACCCCAUGCCGAACUCAGAAGUGAAACGCCGUAGCUCCGAUGGUAGUGA